rnacentral:rRNA from 1 species
UACGGAGGGUGCAAGCGUUAUCCGGAUUCACUGGGUUUAAAGGGUGCGUAGGUGGAUUAGUAAGUCAGUGGUGAAAACUCCGGGCUUAACCCGGAAACUGCCAUUGAUACUAUUAGUCUUGAAUACCGUGGAGGUCAGCGGAAUAUGUCAUGUAGCGGUGAAAUGCUUAGAUAUGACAUAGAACACCAAUUGCGAAGGCAGCUAUCUACAGGGAUAUUGACACUGAGGCACGAAAGCGUGGGGAUCAAACAGG